rnacentral:misc_RNA from 1 species
AACGCACAUUGCGCCCCUUGGCAUUCCGAGGGGCAUGCCUGUUCGAGCGUCAUUACAACCCUCAAGCUCUGCUUGGUAUUGGGCGCCGUCCUCUGCGGACGCGCCUCGAAGACCUCGGCGGCGGCUGUUCGGCCCUCAAGCGUAGUAGCAUACACCUCGCUUUGGAGCGGUCGGCGUCGCCCGCCGGACGAACCUUCUGAACUUUUCUCAAGGUUGACCUCGGAUCAGGUAGGGAUACCCGCUGAACUUAA